rnacentral:lncRNA from 1 species
ACUUUGGGGACUCUUAAAAGACCACUACCUGAAGACCUGAGGGCUCUACUGGGCUCAUAUCGUAAAAGCAAAUCAGAUAAAUAAGGAGGACCAAGACCAUUAAGACAUUUACAAACUAAUAAAAGAACAUUAAAAUCUAUUUUAAAAGAUACAGGAAGCCAAUGCAGAGACUUUAAAAUUGGUGUAAUGUGGGCUCUCCUCCUGGUCUUCGUCAGCAUGCGUGCAGCCGAAUUUUGCAGCAGCUGAAGCUGUGAAAUGUUCUUUUUAGGAAGACCAGAGAGGAGAGCAUUGCAAUAAUCAAUUCUGCAGGUAAUAAAAACAUGGAUAAGAGUCUCUGCAUUGGCUUGAGAGAGAAACUGGCGGACUCUAGAGAUGUUCUUAAGGUGAUAAAAAGCCUUUUUGGUGACAUCGCGUAUGUGUGAUUCAAAGCUGCGGUUAAAAUAAAAUAUAACACCCUGAUUCUUACCUUUACCGAUGACUAAAACCUGGGUUUUGUCCCGGUAGAGCUGCAAGAAGUUGUCUGCCAUCCAGGACUGGACGUCUAAAAUACAGUUAAAAAGGGCAUCAAUGGGCCCUGUGUCAUCAGGAGACACGGCCAGGUAGAGCUGUGUAUCAUCAGCAUAGCUGUGAAAGUUAACGCCGUGUCUCCUCAUGACAUCUCCUAAUGGUAACAUAUAUAGAUUAAAAAGUGUGGGGCCUAAAAUUGAGCAUUAGGGAACGCCACACUUCAUUUCAUAGGUUCUUGAUGAGCAUUCCCCAGUGCUAACGUAAAAUUUCCUGGCAUUCAGAUAUGCUUUAAACCAGUUAAAAACAGUACCAGAGAUGCCAAUGUAGUUUUGGAGUCUGUUUAAAAGAUUUGUAUGAUCCACUGUGUCAAAAGCUGCACUCAGGUCCAACAGGACUAAAACAGAUAUUAAUCUUUCAUCCAUGUUGGACCUGAGGUCACUUACAAUCUUGAUCGUCUCUGUACUGUGAUAUUUCCUAAAACCAAUGAAAUACAUCACCAAUAUUUUUAGAAAUCGUAAAAUCAAUAAAACAAUCUUUUCUAAAAUUUUGCUUAAAAAUGGCAGGUUGGACACAGGUCUGUAAUUAUUAGGUACCGCUGUAUCCAUGUUGUCUCUCUUCAGAAGGGGUCUAACACAGGCUGUCUUAAAGGCAGUGGGAGAGACCCCUGUCUGAAGAGAAUAAUUUACAAUAUUAAUAACGCCAUCCCUAAAAACACUACAGGAGGUCUUAAAAAGGGAUGUGGGGAUAGAAUCUAAAACACAAGUCACCGGUCUAAGAUGGGAGACAACUUCCGCAGUCUCUGCAGCAUCAACCAGGGCAAACCUGUCCAGUGUUUCCCCAUUUAAAAACACAGACUCAGAAGAGCUAAAAUCAUCAGGCUUACUGUUUAAAAAGUUUGACCUGAUAACAUCAAUUUUAUUUCUGAAGUGGACUGCAAGGUCUUCACAGGAUAAAUCUGAAUUAAAAGGUUGCUUAAAAACAGGAUUUGUUAAUUGGUCAAUGGUUGAGAAAAGGAUUUGGGGGUUAUUGCAAUUGUCAGCUAUUAAUUUUGAAAAGUGGUCCUGUCUUGCUUGUUUUACUGGUCUGUUGUAGGUGGUGAUUUGUUCCUGAAAAAUUUGAUAAUGCACUUGUAAUGUUUUUUUUCUCCAUCUCCUCUCUGCAAUUCUGAAUUUUCUCUUUAAUUUGAGAACCUCGCUUGUUCUCCAUGGUGGUUUUAUGUUUGGUUUGUUUUUUUUUUCACCUUUAAUCUAUUGCUGACUUAAGUUUCUGGUUUAAAUGAUCAACAAUAAAAUCACAAGCAGAGGGUAAAACAGCAUUUGGAGCAUCAGUUAAAAUCUCACUGAAAUUAGCAGCCACUUCAGAAGUAAAAUAGCGUUUCCUGACAGUACGCUCUGGGACCUCCUGCUGGAUAAAAUCCAUUACGUUAAAAAACACACAGUGAUGGUUGGACAAGCCCACAUUCACAACAGAGGACACAGUGGCUGAUAACCCAAAGGUUAUUAAAAGAUCCAAUAUAUUUCCUCUGCUGUGGGUGGAGCUUGAUACAUGCUGCUUAAAAUUCAUAGAAUUAAUAAGAUUUAAAAAUUCAGAGCAAAAAGAGUCAGAUGGAUUACCAACGUGAAUAUUAAAAUCCCCUACAAUAAUGAUUUUGUUGUACUUUGAAUAAAUGAUCAUAGUUCUGAAAAUUCACUGCUAAAAGCAGAGCAUUUUUUGGGUGGCCUGUAAACAGUUCAACAAAAUAUGGGAGGACUGCUAAAAACAAAGGAAUGGUACUCAAAUGAAAUAAAAUCACCAAAUAAAACCUCUUUAAAAAAAAACCACCCCGUCUACCCUCUCUAAAAGAAUGUAAAUAAUUAAAACCAGGUGGGGAUGCUUCAUUAAGCGCUGCGGGUCCAUCAGAGCCAAGCCAUGUCUCAGUUAAAAACAUAAAAUCAAUACUGUUAGGUAUAAUCAGGUAAUUUAUUAAAAAAGUCUUAUUUAAAAGAGAACGUACAUUUAAAAGUGCCUGUACCAUCAUAUGACAGCAUUACAUAUCACAUUAAAUUAUUUGACAAUACUUCAUAUCAUAUCAUAUAUGAUUUUAUAUCAUGUCAUGUGAUCAUAGUAUUUCCCAUUGUGAGUUUCAUACUGAUCUGUAUUUGUAUUGAACAGUGUAUCAUUAAGUUUACUAGCUUGUCAUUUGCAUUUUGUCCUGUUGAUUUGCAUCAUUAUUUUUGUGUCAUAUUUUACCAUUGUUCAGUAUGGUAUUGUGUAAUAUAAUAAUAUCACAUAUGUAUUCUUAUACCAUUAUUUUGUAGCCUAUCUUGUGUCUUUAUCUUUUUAUUUUUCUAAUGGUUUUGUUUUCUUCCUAUUGUAUCAUAUUUUAAUGUUCAUCUCUUAUCAUAUUUAGUGUUUGUAUUGUAUCCGUUAGUAUCACAUUGAUAUUGUAUCCCAGUAUAACUUCUGGUAUUGUAUUGUACUGUAUCUCUCAGUGUGAUAUUGUAUCAUAUUUUAAUGUUUAUGUCUUAUCAUAUUCAAUGUUUGUAUUGUAUCCCUUUAUAUCAUAUUGAUAUUGUAUCAUAUCCUCCUCUCUUGUCAUUUCUUUCUGUAUGGUUUUGUAUAAUUAUGUGUCCUGAUAUAUCCCAGUAUAACUUCUGGUAUUGCAUUGUACUGUAGCUCUCUGUGUGAUAUUGUAUCAUAUUUUACUGUGUUAUUAUGUAUCUUAUCAUGUGUUAUAAUCAUAGACUGUAUAUAAAAUGGAUGCUGUCUGCCUCCUCGUUGGGUGAAGCCACUCCGAGAACAACAUCCUCUGGUGACAGGCUGCAGUAUAGGUCAUAAAUCCAGCCUCCUCCAGCAAUCCUCAUGAAGCUCAAGUCCUCUUUUUUUCUGUACAGCUCCAAUUCUAAAAGUUAAUAAGAGGUUCAUGUUUUCUAUGAUUCAUACUUGAUACAUCCUGUGGGCAUACAAAGUAUGCAUAGCUCACCCGGGGGAUAGGCUGUUUGAGCUGAGCGUCAUCACAAUGACUCUCGGUGUGUACAAUGCUACUGCGCAAUGUUGGUUUCAGGAAAUGGAGAAAAAUCGUGGAAAUAUCGAGAGCUUUUCGGCUUUAAAUCCAUAUACUGGCCCUACCAAGUUGUCCAUAGUAUGUAUAGUCUAUGGUUAUGAUGUUGUACCAUAUUGUAAAAAAAACUCAUAAAAUUUUUUCCAGUUUUCAGUCAGUAUCAUAUUUUUUUUUCUCUGACUUUACCUGCAUCUCUUGGAUAUGUAAACAAAUUAAUAAUUAUUAUUUUCCUCUCAGAAACGAACCAACCCCCUGUGCCUUGGUGCUGCUGUUUACUGGGUAGCGGUGCGUUUAUGUCGGUUUAAUCCUCCUCCCUGGCUGGCCAGGCAGUCAGAUGACAGGUGCUAAUCUCUGGACUGCUUG